AUACCAUGGUGGGGACAUUACCUUAAUAACUCUUUGAAUAUUUCUCAAACAUCAAAUAAGGAUUCAUCAUCUCCUUGUCUAAAUGAAGUAAUUUCAUUCCUCAUCUU